AGGGGGGCAGACUAUACAUGCAGUCGAGCGAAUCAUUAGGAGCUUGCUCCUGAUGGUUAGCGGCGGACGGGUGAGUAACACGUGGGCAACCUGCCUGUAAGACUGGGAUAACUUCGGGAAACCGGAGCUAAUACCGGAUAAUCCUUUUCCUCUCAUGAGGGAAAGCUGAAAGACGGUUUCGGCUGUCACUUACCGAUGGGCCCGCGGCGCAUUAGCUAGUUGGUGAGGUAACGGCUCACCAAGGCGACGAUGCGUAGCCCACCUGAGAGGGUGAUCGGCCACACUGGGACUGAAACACGGCCCAAACUCCUACGGGAGGCAGCAGUAGGGAAUCUUCCGCAAUGGACGAAAGUCUGACGGAACAACGCCCCGUGAACGAUGAAGGCCUUCGGGUCGUAAAGUUCUGUUGUUAGGGAAGAACAAGUAUCGGAAUAACUGCCGGUACCUUGACGGUACCUAACCAGAAAGCCACGGCUAACUACGUGCCAGCAGCCGCGGUAAUACGUAGGUGGCAAGCGUUGUCCGGAAUUAUUGGGCGUAAAGCGCGCGCAGGCGGUUCCUUAAGUCUGAUGUGAAAGCCCCCGGCUCAACCGGGGAGGGUCAUUGGAAACUGGGGAACUUGAGUACUGAAAAAGAAAGCGGAAUUCCACGUGUAGCGGUGAAAUGCGUAGAGAUGUGGAGGAACACCAGUGGCGAAAGCGGCUUUCUGGUCAGUAACUGACGCUGAAGCGCGAAAGCGUGGGGGAGACAAACAAGAUUAGAUACCCUGGUAGUCCACGCCGUAAACGAUGAGUGCUAAGUGUUAGAGGGUUUCGCCCUUUAGUGCUGCAGCAAACGCAUUAAGCACUCCGCCUGGGGAGUACGGUCGCAAGACUGUAACUCAAGAAUGACGGGGGCCCGCACAGCGUGUAGCAUGUGUUUAAUCGAAGCAACGCGAGACUAACAGUCUGACAUCUCUGACAUCCUAAGAUACGCUUCCUCCGGGGACGAUGACAGUGUGCAUGGUGUCGUCAGUCUGUCUGAAUGUAGAUAAGUCCGACGAGCCAUCUGACUUAUGCAGCAUCGUUGUCACUUAAGGUACUGCAGUCACUGGAAUUGUAGACUCUAAGGUGACUGCCGGUGACAAACCGGAGGAAGGUGGGGAUGACGUCAAAUCAUCAUGCCCCUUAUGACCUGGGCUACACACGUGCUACAAUGGAUGGUACAAAGGGCUGCAAAACCGCGAGGUUGAGCGAAUCCCAUAAAACCAUUCUCAGUUCGGAUUGCAGGCUGCAACUCGCCUGCAUGAAGCUGGAAUCGCUAGUAAUCGCGGAUCAGCAUGCCGCGGUGAAUACGUUCCCGGGCCUUGUACACACCGCCCGUCACACCACGAGAGUUUGUAACACCCGAAGUCGGUGGGGUAACCGUAAGGAGCCAGCCGCCUAUGGUGUUUC
rnacentral:rRNA from 1 species